CCUGCCUCGGCCUCCCAAAGUGCUGGGAUUACAGCUGUGAGCCACCGUGCCUGGCCAAGGAUAGACCUUUUCUAAGGGUUGUCAAGGAAAUAACCUCAUGUGCAGAAAAAGUUUUAUGCACAAAUAUGUGUAUCACAACAGCUUUACAAUAGUGAAAACCCAGAAACAAAUUAAUAGUAAUAAGAGAAUGGUUACUUACACUGUUGUGAAAUCAUGAGGAGGAAUCUCACAUAGAAUUGAAAGUGAGGUCUAAAGAACUUUAUAGUAAUAUGGAGAAAAACUUGGUUAAUACAUUAUGUAGAAAAGCAGAUUAUAAAUGUUGUGUAAUAUGACAUCACAACUAUGGAAAACUACACAGUGGUAGUGGUAUCACAGGUGAUCUUUUGCUUUUCUUUAUUUUCCAGUUUUUCUGUAAUAAGCAAGAAUUUUGAAAAUUGGAAUGGGAAAAGGGUGUUUUACUGAAAACAGAAGCAUCAUCCUUCUCUGUUGGUAAUUUUCAGCUUGAUUUGGUUUGUAGUGCUGCAGAAAGUGCUUUUGAUUUCUCUAGAACAGUGUUUCUCAACCUCAGCUAGUUGUGGGAGCAGCCCUGUGCACUGGACAAUGUUUAGCAGCAUCAUUGGCCUCAACGCACAAGAUGCCUGUAGCAUGCCCUCAGUUGUGACAAACAAAAAUGUCUCCACACAUUGCCAAAUGUCCCUGGUGUGGGUGGUCGUGAUAAAAUAACGUCUGGUUGAGAACUGCUGUUCUAGAAUCAUGCACUGAUACAUCCCAAAUACCCACUCCCUGGGAGACUCAGCAAGAGGUGGCAGUGGGUAUUCAGUUGUACACAGCAAUGGAGUAUGUAGAAAUCUAGAAAUUCGUUCACUCACUCAUGAGACAUUUAUUUUCCAGAAAGGUGUUUGGCAUCAGAAAAAUGUGGCAAUAGGAAGCAGGGUUCCUUCCAGCUGCAGGGUGGGAUUCAGUGGGAGGAAUUCAGCCCCUUGCGGGCAGAGGUGGAGUGAAGAAAGGGCCUGGCAAGCAACGAGGCUCACUAGGACUGAGACACCAGCAGUUUUGGUCACAAAAGGAGGUGGAAGCCAAAUUCCCAGCCUGAGAUGGGAAUGAAAGCAGAAAUGCAGUUGACUAGACAUUGUGGAGCCUGCACCAGAGAACUAAAGCUCCUUAAAUUCCUCCUGACAGGGAACAGGAUUGUCCUCAGAGCCUAGGGCAGCCCUCAGCUUGCUGGUGGAAGGAAUGGGGACUUGGAUAAGGAGUUGGAAGAGUGGGUGGCUAGAGAGCCCCUGCAAGGCACUGCCCACUCAGUAGUGAUACUUACUGUGAAGGGCCGUGGGUCUAGACUGAGGCAUUUACACUUGGUUCUGGAAGAAGGAAAGAAGCCAAACCAGUUUUCCUAUAGGAAAGAUCUCUAGAAGUGGAUCAAAGAAUGUACACUUUUUGAAUUUCGAUGGGUAGUACUCAGUUGCCUUUCUAAAUGCCAGUAUAAUGAUCAAUGGAUUGGAUAUUAUUUUGGCAUUUUAUAGUGCUUGAAUAAUAAGUUUAUUAUUUUAAAUGUUUGUAGUGCCGCCGAAGGUUUAUAAAGGUUUAUGGCUGUCGCAGUUUUGCUUUCAUGACCUGUUGUUGAUCGUAUCUUUGAUUUAUGUGAGGCCUAGACAGGAACAGAAUCCCUAAUCAUGAAAUUUUUCCUAUGGGAAAAUACAUCUUGCUUUAUGACAAUCUACUUUAUGACGUGCUUUCCAGAAAUAAUGUGUGGCAAAAUGUAGAGGUCAUCUAUAAAGUUUCUGUUUGUUUUAUCUGUUGUGAAUUUCCAUGAUUUUUGUCCCCCUUUGAUGGCUAAUUUAUUUUCCAUCCUGUAUUAGAGAUACAUAUUUAAUAAAAUUUAAAAUAUUCUUUUUUAAAAAUGCAUGAAGCACAAGGAAGGUGAAUGGGUGAUUAACAAGAUAGUGAUUCAGAUUGAAUAUUAAAUGUAUCUCAUUUCAUGAAACAAAUGCAUUCAAUUAGGUUGAAUGAUAUGAAAUUUUGAUUUUUCUAGGUCAAAAACAGUCAAAUAUCAGCAAUUUUAUAUGGCUCAGUGUAAUAGUAAUGUUGGCUAUAAAGAAAAUUUUUGUGAAAUGAAUAUUCUGUUUUUUAUUGCUUUCUUAAAAAUUUUGAGGUUCAUUUCCCUGAAGACAGAGUUGAAAACUUUGGCUGUGUAUCAUGCUGGGCAUGGCUGGAAUUCAACAAAUUAUUCUUGCUUUGAAUGAUUGUUUCCAUUGGAACAAGAGUUCCCAACGAACCCUGGCUGCUCAUAGAAUCACUGGGGAAACUUUAAAAGAUAUAAUCCAUGGCUCCACACAGAUAAAUCAGUACAUUGGAUAUGGUAUGCAGUGGGGCAGGGCUCAGGCCUCAGUAUUUUUUUGUUCCCCACGUGACUCUAAGGUGCAGCCAGUUUGAGAACCACUGCACUAGAAUUUCAUUUUAAGGAGUCUCAAUGGAGCUUUUGUAUACCUUAGAAAAACACAAUGCCUUUGUUCCUCACCUACUUCUCUAUCUUGCUUUGGACCAAUAAGGUCUAAAGAUGAAAUGUGAAAAAAAUAUAUUUAACUCGAUCAACCCCCUGCUUUGGUUUUCAUUCAACAGAACAUUUAUUGGGUACCUACUAUGUGCCUGGUCCUAGGGCUGGGGACUUUGAUGAAACAGAUGAAUGCUGAGUUAAAGAAGAAUUAUGCCUCUUAAAGAAGCCAGGGAUUAUAUGAAAUGUCCCAAACAGGCAAAUCUGUAGCGAUGGAAGGUAGAUUAGUGGUGGUUGCUUAGGGCUAGUGAGGAUGGGAAAGUAGGGAGUGACUUUAAAUGGGUAUGAGACUUAACUUGGAGGUGAAAAAAGGACCUAAAAUUGAUUGUGGUGUAACUAUAUUAAAAACUAUUGACUUGUGUACUUUAAAUGAAUGAAUUGUAUGGAAUGUGAAUUAUAUCUCAAUAAAGCUGCUGUUAAAAAAAAAAAAAAAGCCAAGGGUUCCUUUUGGCAUGAGGACUUCACACUGAAUAAGUAAAUUAGGAACAGCAGAGAAGAAACUCAGUACUAUACACCCAUUCCUUUCAAAACUAAUAGACAAUAAAAUGGGGACAAUAACUGAGGGCAAAAUAAAGUAAAUCCUGGUUGGAGAUGUUUAGUUACCACCUGUAUUCCAAAUAGCACCUGAGUGUUCAGAGGGUGGAUGGGCUGGGAGCCGUAGGUGAGAAAAAGACAAGAACCUUCAUAGAAUGUACUGUAUGCCAGGCACUAUGCUAAGUGCUCUUUGUAUGUAUUCAUUCAUUCAAUUAUCACACAGUUAUCUCCAUUUUACUAUUUUGAAAUGGAAGCACAGAGAAGUAACUGCCCUAAGGUCAUAUAGCUAGUUAAGCAGUGACAUUAAGACUGCCUUAAAGAGUGGAAGUAUUCUAAUAGCAAUGUGACGAUGCGGGAAUGGGAGUGGCAGUGGGCAGGGAAGCUUGGGCUUGUUGAGGGGAUGGAUAGCUGUCACAAUGUGUUCAACUAGGGUAAUAAUGGAGGAGGGGGUAGAAGGGUGGACAGUGAGGGGUUACUGAGGAACUCCCUUGACCAUGCUAAGGAAACAAAAUGCAGCAGAUGGGCAUCGUUGAAGAUAAUUGAAUCAAAACAAGGCUUAAGAAGGCCAAGUUCAGUUUUCUAAAUGCACAGAUACAUGCAUGUCUCAAUGAGUGUCUCUCUGGGUCUGUUCCCUGGGUCUUACUAUGACCUGGGCUCUGGGGAGAAAUUACUAAAAGAGAAGUCACAAUGACCUAGGGAAAUUGAAAAGCCUCCAUAGGACCUGCCUUAGAACCUUACAUUCUUUGAAUGGUUGCAAAGUCGCAGCCGAAGGUGACUAGCCCAGAAUGCUCAGAACAUUUGGCAUCAAACCUGGACUAGAAGUCUGUUUUUCAGCUGUUCCCUGUCCACUCCCAGGACCUCUGCCUCCUGUCUUAUAGUGUAUCAUGGUCUCUACUGGAUAACAGAUAAGCAAGGUUGAGUCAUCUGAUAUGGUCAUCCCUGGAUGUGGACUUUCUCCUCCAAUCAUGAGCACAACAUAUAGAGCUCCCAUCCUCUCUCCUUCACUCUCAUCAAGUGAAUGGCUCAGCAAGGUUGGGACUCUUGUGGUGAGACCAGAAGAUCUUGAGAAGAGUGUGAGGAAUGAGCUUCCCAGUGAAUAAAAGUGAUGCUCAAAGGAUCAAGAUCAAAAGGCAGUGGAAAGAAAUGAAGGAUGCAGGAGAAAGAUGGACAUUGUGAAUAAAGGGAAGAGAGAGAGGGGUGAUGGGGAAGGUAGGAAGAUCAGGACAGAGCAAGGAACAACAGGAUGAGAUUCAAAAGAAAGCAACAUGGGGAACAUGCAAGUGGUGAGGGCUAAGAAAUCUUAAUAAUGAAGAAACCAUGGGGACUAAGAGGAAGUUGAAGAAAGCUGCUGGAGCAACCUAGAGAGACAGAAGAGAGCAGAGAAGUGAGUGAAAGGAAUAAACCUGGGAUGAGAGAGAGGAUCUGCACUGUAACUCUGAUAUUGACCAAGAGGAUUGAUAACCUCCCUUUUAUUAAAUGCCACAUACAUGCCAAGUGCUGUGCUGAGGCUUUGCAUUUAUUAUAGCAUAGUGGGCACUAGCCCAGAAUGGAAUCCAGAGUUGAGCUGUUUAUGGAGCUGUGCACCAGAAAACACUUAGAUGUCUACACAUAAGUUCACAUGCAGGAGACUAGGAGAGGGUUGUUCUCUCCACCUCCAGUCUCAGCCCAGGAGGGCAGAGGUUGGCCAGCCACAGAGCCCAGUCCAGGUACUUCAACAAGGGGAGCUGAGUGGAAGAACAGAAGCAAACUAUCCCUGAGCAUAGGAGGGGCUCCAUCACCUUCAGAAUGCUACCAAAUAGCUAGGAGGGAUGAAGGCAGAUGGUGAUGGCUUUUGGGGGUAGGAAGUUACCUGAGGUCCUCAGGCCAGCAGGCAUGGUCUUGGAGCUCUAAAGAUUCAGGUAUUUAUGCUAUUAUGACCAUUUGGGUAUUCAGGGCUGGUGAAACUAGAAACAGAACUCACAGAUGUCUUAUCCCUUUGAAUGCUUAUUUAUAACAACUCUGUUAUAUCUCCAUUAAAGAAACACUAGUUACUUCCCCCAUGCUACUGGAUGGUGGCACUAAGUACGACAUGAUCAGUGUGACGCAAAGACCAUACUCUUUCCACUCUACCCUAAGGCAUCUCAUUAGAGAUGGCAUCUCUGCUGUCCCAUCUCUGCUAUCCCAUUUCUGGUUGUCAGAGCAAUAUAUUCUAGGAGGUCAGCCUCAGCCUCAGGCCAUCUUUAGGCAGACAGGAGGUUAAGAGAAGGGAAAUGCAGUGCUGGUCCAGAAGCAAUGACCAAGGCCCUGGGAGCCAUGAAGAUAGAGGCCACACUGGACAUUUCCAGCUGGGCAGAGAGAGGAAGGUUAGAAACCAGGAAAAGAUGAGCAGGAGUUCAGCCAAUGAAGGUUUGGGGCACAGGAAGCAAAAAGCCUGGUCUUAUAGGUUGGCAUUGGUCCCCUCCACCUGUUGGGGACACACAGAAGCCUGGAGCCACAGGAUGUCAGGAACUUUCUGUCCCUUUCAGCUUCACACAUGCACAGCUUAGCGAGAACAUUACCCUUGAUCCUCUGAGCCAGGGAUCACAGUCUACGGGAUUUGUGAAAAUUUGGUUUUGUCUUGCAGGGAAUUUGUCCCCAUGUAAUUCAUUAAUUGACCCAUUGCUCCUUAGAGCUGCAAGGAGCCUGGUAGUUCAGGCCAUUAAGUCCCUUCUGUAGGCCUAAUUCAUGGCCUGACAUCACAAUCCUAAAAACAUAAUCCAUUUGUCCUGAUUUGAUUUUUUCUUUUCGAGAGGCUCCCUUGGCAGCCAGGUUUUCUCAUUAUGAUAUGAUUCAUCCAUAUGGUAAUUACCAUUAGAAUUAGUAUCUCAGACGUGAUUCAUCUUUGGAAAUAUUAAGCUGGAAGCAUCACUUACAGAAAGGCCUGUUCCAUUUACAGCCAUGGGGAAUGUCUGCAGAGAUGCUCCUUCAUCCAGCUAGCAUUUGUUGAGUUUUGCCCUGUACUGGAUUCUGAACUAGGGGCCUUGAGGCGUAUAGAGAUGAAUAGGCCCUAGACUGUGCCCUCAGUAGCUUCCAUUCUAGAAGGGAGAUGAUAGGGACGUAAGUGCUUGUCAGAUGGAUGGUACAGUCAGAGAUGAAAGGUAACAUGUUCUCCUUAAAGUCUAGGAUACAGGUUUUCAAACUCUAGCAGGAAUCAAAAUCACCUGAAGGGCUUGCUAAAACACAGAUUAUUGGGUCCCAGCCCAGAGUUUUUGAUUCAGUAGGCCUGCGAUGGAGCCCAAGAAUUUGCAGUUCCAACAAACUCCUGGGUGAGGAGGAUGAUGCUGGUCUGGGGACCACACUUUGAGGACCAUAGCUCUAAGUCUUCAAUUAUUUCUCCACUGUGCCCUUUCUCCAUUGCUUGCAGCAUGCUAAGCAGUGCCCUGUGCUGGGGACAAAAUGUUUAUUAAAGCUUGGUCCCUGUUCCAGUGGGGAAAUAGUAGGAGAGUAAACAGUGAUUUCUGUACUUCACAGAAAGUGCUACUAGAGCUUUGCUUAAGGUGUCAUUGGAUCACCAAAAAGAACAUGAUUAUUUCUUGCCGGAACCCAGGGAAGGCCACAUGGAGGAGGUAAAAUUUUAAUAAAAGGGAUGUGGAUUGGAAGAAGUUGUAUGGAAGGGCAUUUGCAGCUGCGAAAUUCCCAAGUUUUCAAAUGUCCUGGGGCAUCCUCUAACUUCUUCUGAGAUGUUCCCCUGAAGUGAUAAAGGUUCAGCUUACUUCCCAUAGAAGCCUCUGGCACAGUUCUGGUUAAUUCGCCUGGUUUUAGCAAAGUCUUUAUGUUUGUCUUUCCGGAGUUCUGUUUGGUCAGUGUCUUGCUCGUGCAUGGUCUGAAUACUCUCAGUAGAAUGGAAUUCUCUGCACAGGCAUUUGAAUGGAAUGUGGAAUCAUGAGCAGAGCAAACAGCAGCCUGCUACCAAAAUUCUCCUCCCCAUCCCUGCCAUUUAAGUCUCCAAGCUGCUGCAACUACCCCCUCCAACAGCCUCACUGUUUUUGUUGACUCUUCAGGAAAUUCGACAGUUCUUAUAUCAUUGCAUUUUGUUUACACACAGACACCCAUCAGACAUGAAACUUCUAGUAUCUUCAACCUUUUAGAACACUGCUUGUAGAUUCCAAAGUUAGAAAAGAGGCUCAUGAGACUAGUAAAGGGGUUUCCAAACCAUAGCGCAGAGCUCUUACACUUCAUGCUGUGAGAGGCCCCUGCGUUGUUACCACCUAUUAACUCACAGGUGACACCGUUAAAAUAAAUGUCAUUGUUUUUCUAGCUCAGGGCACUUUAAGAACCACAUUAUGGGGAGGAUAAGGGUGCUAUUAGAAGCACAUAUAUAGUCACUAAUGCGAAAUGGCAGCUGAUACUGAAGGAGAAUAGUAAUAAGAGAGAGGGAACAGGAGAAGCUAAUGUAUUAGAGAAUAAUGAUCAUCAAAAUAAUCAUCAAAAUUAAGUUUAAUUAUACCCUCCAUCUGCCACUGAAGAAGGGGCUGGGUAUGAUAUAGGGUAAAAUCCCAGCACGCUGGGACGCUGAGGCGGGAGGCUUGCUUGAGCUCAGGAGUUUGAGACCAGUGUGGGCAACAUAGCAAGACCACAUCUCUACAAAUAAUAUAAAAUUAGCCCAGCAUAGUGGUGGUGCCUGUAGUCCCAGCCACUCAGGAGGCUGAGGUGGGAAGAUCACUUGAGCCCAAGAGGUCAAGGCUGCAGUGAGCUAUGAUUGUGCCACUGCACUCCAGCCUGGGCAACAGAGUGAGACCUUGUCUCAGAGAAAAAAAAAAAAAAAAAGAAAGAAAGAAAGAAAAAGAAAGCAAGGAAGUAUGGAUUAUAGAACAGUAACACUAAAAGGGACCUUGGAGAUAAUAACUGGCCAGCCUCUUCGUGAUAAAGAUAAGAAAACUGGGGCAAAGAGUAGGUUAUGAGGAAGAGGGUUUCAGUUAUUUGCCCAGUAUCACACAAUUACACAGUACAGACUGUGGGUCUCUCCAGGGCAGAGUCUUUUUUCUUUUUAAAAUCAUUGUUCUCCAGCAUCUACCAUAGUCGAUGUAACUGCAACUCAAUAUUUGUUUAUUUAAAUUGAUUUAGCAGAGUCAAUACAUUAAUCCGUAUCUUGGUUUCUUUUAAACCCCAUGAUCCUUUCAAAUGAUCAAUUUCAUGAAAAAUUAGUAGAGAGAAUAGAUCAGAUUAAGUCCUUUGACUCUAAGCCCAUCAGCAAAUGAUAAUGAAAUGUUGUUAAACUGUUGGUGGAUUUAUCAGAAAUGGCCAAGUUUGGUUACUAGCAAUUAAAUCCACAUUUGGCUACAGCUAUUCUGAAUACUUUGUAAAGAUUUUAUGCCAUUUCAUAUGAUUUAUAUAUCUAGUUUUCAGCAAAUACAGGUGACAGUAGAAUGUCGCCUGUGGUUCAGAUGAAUCCAAUGUAGUCAGGGCCAAAAAACCAGAGGAUUCUAGCCAAGUUUUUGGUGAAGACAUAGAAUUGAGAAAUUCACUUAUUCAAUCAAGAACUGUUCAUUGAGAACUUAUAAUGCCAAACACUGUUCUAGACACUGCAGAUACAGCAGUGAAAAAAAGAAAAUCUCAUGAAGCUGACAUUCUAAUGGAAGGAACAGACAACAAACAACAAACAAACAAAAAGUGAUGGAGGGAUUGUGACUACAAUUACCCCUCUGUUGAAAGUGCUUCCUCUGACAUCUGUAAUAGGAUUUUCUGUUUGGUUUGGUAGUUAACAGCACUAGCUUAGACAUGGAGAGUCUUGAUGUUAAGUCCUAGCUGUGUGCACAUUAGCGCCUUAUUUUUUUUUUUUGAGACAGAGUCUCGCUUUGUU